rnacentral:rRNA from 1 species
UACGGGGGGGGCAAGCGUUGUUCGGAAUUACUGGGCGUAAAGGGCUCGUAGGCGGCCAACUAAGUCAGACGUGAAAUCCCUCGGCUUAACCGGGGAACGGCCUCUGAUACUGGCUGGCUGGAGUUCGGGAGAGGGAUGCGGAAUUCCAGGUGUAGCGGUGAAAUGCGUAGAUAUCAGGAGGAACACCGGUGGCGAAGGCGGGUCUCUGGGCAACAACGUGACGCUGAGGAGCGAAAGCGUGGGGAGCGAACAGG